UACAGAGGGGGCAAGCGUUGUUCGGAAUUACUGGGCGGAAAGGGCGCGUAGGCGGCCUGCUAAGGCGAACGUGAAAUCCCCGGGCUCAACCCGGGAACUGCGUCCGAUACUGGCAGGCUUGAAUCCGGGAGAGGGAUGCGGAAUUCCAGGUGUAGCGGUGAAAUGCGUAGAUAUCUGGAGGAACACCGGUGGCUAAGGCGGCAUCCUGGACCGGCAUUGACGCUGAGGCGCGAAAGCCAGUGUAGCAAACGGG
rnacentral:rRNA from 1 species